AUGAACGCUAGCUACAGGCUUAACACAUGCAAGUCGAGGGGCAUCAGGAAGAAAGCUUGCUUUCUUUGCUGGCGACCGGCGCACGGGUGAGUAACACGUAUCCAACCUGCCCUUUACUCGGGGAUAGCCUUUCGAAAGAAAGAUUAAUACCCGAUGGCAUAAUGAUUCCGCAUGGUUUCAUUAUUAAAGGAUUCCGGUAAAGGAUGGGGAUGCGUUCCAUUAGGUUGUUGGUGAGGUAACGGCUCACCAAGCCUUCGAUGGAUAGGGGUUCUGAGAGGAAGGUCCCCCACAUUGGAACUGAGACACGGUCCAAACUCCUACGGGAGGCAGCAGUGAGGAAUAUUGGUCAAUGGGCGCUAGCCUGAACCAGCCAAGUAGCGUGAAGGAUGAAGGCUCUAUGGGUCGUAAACUUCUUUUAUAUAAGAAUAAAGUGCAGUAUGUAUACUGUUUUGUAUGUAUUAUAUGAAUAAGGAUCGGCUAACUCCGUGCCAGCAGCCGCGGUAAUACGGAGGAUCCGAGCGUUAUCCGGAUUUAUUGGGUUUAAAGGGAGCGUAGGUGGACUGGUAAGUCAGUUGUGAAAGUUUGCGGCUCAACCGUAAAAUUGCAGUUGAUACUGUCAGUCUUGAGUACAGUAGAGGUGGGCGGAAUUCGUGGUGUAGCGGUGAAAUGCUUAGAUAUCACGAAGAACUCCGAUUGCGAAGGCAGCUCACUGGACUGCAACUGACACUGAUGCUCGAAAGUGUGGGUAUCAAACAGGAUUAGAUACCCUGGUAGUCCACGCCGUAAACGAUGAAUACUAGGUGUCGGGGCCGUAUAGGCUUCGGUGCCGCCGCAAACGCAGUAAGUAUUCCACCUGGGGAGUACGCCGGCAACGGUGAAACUCAAAGGAAUUGACGGGGGCCCGCACAAGCGGAGGAACAUGUGGUUUAAUUCGAUGAUACGCGAGGAACCUUACCCGGGCUUAAAUUGCAGUGGAAUGAUGUGGAAACAUGUCAGUGAGCAAUCACCGCUGUGAAGGUGCUGCAUGGUUGUCGUCAGCUCGUGCCGUGAGGUGUCGGCUUAAGUGCCAUAACGAGCGCAACCCUUAUCUUUAGUUACUAACAGGUCAUGCUGAGGACUCUAGAGAGACUGCCGUCGUAAGAUGUGAGGAAGGUGGGGAUGACGUCAAAUCAGCACGGCCCUUACGUCCGGGGCUACACACGUGUUACAAUGGGGGGUACAGAAGGCAGCUAGCGGGUGACCGUAUGCUAAUCCCAAAAUCCUCUCUCAGUUCGGAUCGAAGUCUGCAACCCGACUUCGUGAAGCUGGAUUCGCUAGUAAUCGCGCAUCAGCCACGGCGCGGUGAAUACGUUCCCGGGCCUUGUACACACCGCCCGUCAAGCCAUGGGAGCCGGGGGUACCUGAAGUACGUAACCGCAAGGAUCGUCCUAGGGUAAAACUGGUGACUGGGGCU
rnacentral:rRNA from 1 species